CUCAGCUCCUUUGUUUCAGUCCUACUACUGCUUGUUUUUCAAAUUGAUUAUUUGCUGCAGGAUUUUUUUCUAAUUUAACAGGCAGCUGGAGCUUAUUAGACAUGAUUUUCUGCUGUAAUAUUUUAUAUCAGUACUUGAUAAUGGCACACCUGUAAACACCCUCUAUAACUAGCAACUUCAGGCACUUGUGGAAUCCACCUGCUACAGCUUAUGUGGCAGGGAUGCUGGGUAACCACAGCAUAGCAGUGGAAAAACAGAGAUUUCUCCAAAUAUCAUUUUUGACAUCCAAGUCACAGCAGAGUAGACCUUGAACCUCUCUGGAGUUCUCUUGGAAAAUGAGAUUUUUAGCAGCUGCAAGUAAAUAUUUAAUCUCUAUUGGGAGGAUGGCAUUUCUGAACUAGAGUUGGCUCUUUACUGACACCCUGAAUCCAGGCUGGGAGGCGAGUCCCUGGAGAUUUGUGAGAUCAGAGGGAAACAGGAGACCCAUCUGCAACCUUCUGAUUAGCGAGUCAUCAGCAGAUUAAUUUGUACAAAGGGAUCACAGUAAUGGGCUGAGGCCAGCUGAGUGCCUAUAUGGUCCUGAAAGCACUAGUGCCACAGAGAUGGGGAAAACCAGAUGAAUUUACUUCAAGGAAGGGCACCUUAAAACAGAAAGAAAAAGAAGGGUGGGAUUGUUGGGUGAGUCAUUCCAGAAUACUUGGUGUUGAUAUCAAAUCAACGGGUUCAGCCUGGCCAUGCAGUUUCCUUUUUUUUUCUGGGCAUGGAUCUCUGUAAGCUGGAGAAGCUGGUGGGAGUAUGGUAUUUGCAACCACUUUAUUUUCUCUGGGCUAAAAAUACUCUGCAAACUUUGGUUUUAUUUUCCAUUCAUAACAGCUGAGCCCUAGGCUAGAGGGAAUGAAUGUGUUAUCCCACUGUGAAAACAUCUAAACAGGUGGAAAGGACAAGGGAGGGUAGAAAGGCAGGGUGGAGACAGUCUGGUUUUAGACAAAAAUCCUGUUUCUUUUCUGAAAACAGAGCAAAGUCUGGGUCAUGUAUGUUACUUUAAAAGCUGAAAUUCAGCUUUAUAAGCUGAAAUUCCAUUCUCAUUUGUUUGCUUGCAUGAAAGAAGCGUGAGUUGGGAGACAUCGGGAAGAAAAUAUCUGGGAAGACACUGUCAGAGAAAAGAGAAAAAUAUGAGAAAUGUGCUGCUGUUGCAGUCAGGCCUAACCAUUCUGCUAAAUAACUUCAUUUUUCAUCUGUAACUUCUGUUAUGCCAGCUGGAGUCUUCCAAACAGCUUUAGUUAAGUGUUUCUAUUCUUAGCUCUUUAUGAAAAUGAUCCCAGUUCUGAGAUAGAUCUGUCAAAGCACCUCAGUGCUUCAGCAACCAUCAAAUAAGUGUAAUUUUUUUUUUUUUUUAAGUAUGGAAAUAUUUUCCAUUGAGAAGCAUGAUCCUGCCUGCUAAGACAUUCUUCUUAGAAAUCCUGUCUGGAUUUCAAGUAAGUCUGCAAAGACAAGGACUAAUGCACUAAUCCAUUCUGGUACUUUAUAUAUUAAUUGAGGCUAUUUAUUUAUUUAUUUAUUUUAGUAAAGAAAAAUAAGACUAAGGUUCCAGAGACUUAUAGUAUACACAAUGUAAUCAAUAAAGUUAUUCAGAGUUCUACACAAAAGUGCUCACACAGAUCAUUAGGGCAGAAACUUUAAUCCACUGAGGUUUAGAAAUGAGGAAUUUCUUAAGUACCACCUGAGAUUUUUUCUCCAAGUCUGUAGGGCUUUGUGGAUUGUAAAUCUUGCUAAAACACUUUUUCAAAUAAAUAUUGAAAAAAAAAAAAAAAAAAAAGAGGAAAGGAAAACCAAGUUGAAAUCUGAUAAAA